rnacentral:sRNA from 1 species
CGGUGCUGGCAGCCGGAGCGGCGGCGGGCGGGCCGAGCAGCCGGGGCAGCCGCGCGUGGGCAUCCACGGGCGCCGAGCCUCCGUCCCUGUCUCUAUCCCUCCCGGGCCUUUGUCAGCUCGCCCGCUGGGAGCGGGGCCGAGAGCGCCGGACCGAGUCAGACAGCCCCGCAGGUCAGCGGCCGGGCCGAGGGCGCCAGAGGGGGCCAUGUCGUACCAGGGCAAGAAGAGCAUCCCGCACAUCACGAGUGACCGACUCCUCAUCAAAGGUGGACGGAUCAUCAACGAUGACCAAUCCCUUUAUGCUGACGUCUACCUGGAGGAUGGACUUAUCAAUUGACCAUGUUGUUCCUGAACCUGGGUCCAGCCUACUGACCUCUUUCGAGAAGUGGCACGAAGCAGCUGACACCAAAUCCUGCUGUGAUUACUCCCUCCACGUGGACAUCACAAGCUGGUACGAUGGCGUUCGGGAGGAGCUGGAGGUGCUGGUGCAGGACAAAGGCGUCAAUUCCUUCCAAGUCUACAUGGCCUAUAAGGAUGUCUACCAAAUGUCCGACAGCCAGCUCUAUGAAGCCUUUACCUUCCUUAAGGGCCUGGGAGCUGUGAUCUUGGUCCAUGCAGAAAAUGGAGAUUUGAUAGCUCAGGAACAAAAGCGGAUCCUGGAGAUGGGCAUCACGGGUCCCGAGGGCCAUGCCCUGAGCAGACCUGAAGAGCUGGAGGCCGAGGCGGUGUUCCGGGCCAUCACCAUUGCGGGCCGGAUCAACUGCCCUGUGUACAUCACCAAGGUCAUGAGCAAGAGUGCAGCCGACAUCAUCGCUCUGGCCAGGAAGAAAGGGCCCCUAGUUUUUGGAGAGCCCAUUGCCGCCAGCCUGGGGACCGAUGGCACCCAUUACUGGAGCAAGAACUGGGCCAAGGCUGCGGCGUUCGUGACUUCCCCUCCCCUGAGCCCGGACCCUACCACGCCCGACUACUUGACCUCCCUACUGGCCUGUGGGGACUUGCAGGUCACAGGCAGCGGCCACUGUCCCUACAGCACUGCCCAGAAGGCGGUGGGCAAGGACAACUUCACCCUGAUCCCCGAGGGUGUCAACGGGAUAGAGGAGCGGAUGACCGUCGUCUGGGACAAGGCGGUGGCUACUGGCAAAAUGGAUGAGAACCAGUUUGUCGCUGUCACCAGCACCAAUGCAGCCAAGAUCUUUAACCUGUACCCAAGGAAAGGGCGGAUUGCCGUGGGCUCGGACGCCGACGUGGUCAUCUGGGACCCCGACAAGGUGAAGACCGUAACAGCCAAAAGUCACAAGUCGGCAGUGGAGUACAACAUCUUCGAGGGUAUGGAGUGCCACGGCUCCCCACUAGUGGUCAUCAGCCAGGGCAAGAUCGUCUUUGAAGACGGAAACAUCAAUGUCAACAAGGGCAUGGGCCGCUUCAUUCCGCGGAAGGCGUUCCCGGAGCACCUGUACCAGCGCGUCAAAAUCAGGAAUAAGGUUUUUGGAUUGCAAGGGGUUUCCAGGGGCAUGUAUGACGGUCCUGUGUACGAGGUACCAGCUACACCCAAAUAUGCAACUCCCGCUCCUUCAGCCAAAUCUUCGCCUUCUAAACACCAGCCCCCACCCAUCAGAAACCUCCACCAGUCCAACUUCAGCUUAUCAGCAUUACCAGAGCCUGCAGCUCCUGAGAAUCGCACAAUAGCCCUUCGGCUGCAAUCAUUCUUUCCGUCAGAGUCAUCAUGAGCUGUCGGGCUUUGGAGCUGGAACACUUAAACUGGUCCACAAGAAAGUGCUGGAUGUUUGCCAUCUGUUUCCAGAAAGCUUCCAUCUGUGAAAUGAGCACAAGCAGCAAGAAGUGAGGGGAAAAACUUACUUAAGAAAGCCAAACGGUG